GUUUCCUAAUUCAGCCCCUCUCCGUAAUUUCUGCCUCUUCUUCAAUUUCUCAUGUGAAAAAUGGUUAGUCACCAUCUGAAUCUCCAACUCUUCUUGUUCCUGUUGUGGAUCUUCAAAAAUGUUUCUUGGAAUCAGCUUUCUAACUGUGAUCUCUGUUUGAUGGAUAUUAUUAUUGAUUUUAGUGCUGAUUUAAGGAUCGAAGAUUCCUGGAGCUGAAUCCAGCUAUGUCCUAAAAUGUCGUUCGAAGAAUUGUGUUUGAAAUUUAAAGCAUCUUAUCGGUGGAGAACUGACCUCUUUAAAAUUAGAUGUAUGAAGAGUAAAUGUUUUCAAUGCCUGAUAAGAAGUAUUGAAUUGUGCCACAAGAAGUUAUGGACGAAGUUGGGUUACCACCAAAAUAUAAACGUCAACCUGAAAGGCCAAAGAAAUUAAGGCACAAGAAAUCAAGAAAAAAUGUGACAUCGAGAAGUGACUGUUGCGGGAGAUGUGGUUAUGAAGGUCACAAUAGGCGUACUUGUAAUUUUUUUCCAAAGGAUGAGUGACAAUGUAGUCGACUAAUGAAAAGUGUUGAAAAAUUUCUAGCAGUUUGAUGGAUUUUUCAGCUCUUUGAAGCUCAUUCUUUAUGAUGUUAUUGUUUUAUUUUUUAAAUUUUAUGAAUAUCAAAUAGUGAAAUAAAUCCUUGGUUUCGUUCCUUAGUUAAUUA